AUGGAUGUGCGAUCUCUUCUGCCGCUACGUCUCCAUUCGACUCACCAAGGUUUGUUGUUCUCCUUUUUACAUGUGUGUGUAUUUUACUUUCACUAUCUGCUAUAUCAUGAUAUCUGCCUUCAUGAUCGUUUAAAUAUUAUUAUGGUGUCUGCCAUGCUGAUCGUUCAAAUAUUUUGGAUACGGCAGGGCAUUAUGUGGUGUUCUUCUCUUGCUACUUACAGUUCGUGUAUGCGUGUGAGCAGGAUCUAUGCACUUGUUUCCGUUGUUAUACUUGUUUUGGAGACUGAGGUAGCUCGGUGUGCUUUGCCGUCGCUUUCGUGUAUGUGUGAGGUUGUAGACAACGGUUCUGUUCUUGCUGGUGUAGAACUCGAGCUCCCAGGGGACGGUUCUACUCCAGUGCCAUAA
rnacentral:rRNA from 1 species